rnacentral:rRNA from 1 species
UACGGAGGGUGCGAGCGUUGUCCGGAAUCAUUGGGCGUAAAGGGCGCGUAGGUGGCCCGGUAAGCGUGCGGUGAAAGCUCGGGGCUCAACCCCGAGUCGGCCGUGCGAACUGCUGGGCUUGAGCACUGUAGAGGCAGGCGGAAUUCCGGGUGUAGCGGUGGAAUGCGUAGAGAUCCGGAAGAACACCGGUGGCGAAGGCGGCUCUCUGGGACGGUACUGACGCUGAGACGCGAAAGCGUGGGGAGCGAACAGG